CUGGCUCAGGAUGAACGCUAGCUACAGGCUUAACACAUGCAAGUCGAGGGGCAGCGAGAGGAAAGCUUGCUUCCUUGUCGGCGACCGGCGCACGGGUGAGUAACGCGUAUCCAACCUUCCCCAUAGUAGAGGAUAGCCCGGCGAAAGUCGGAUUAAUACUCUAUGUUGUGUCAUGAGGACAUCUGAAUAACACUAAAGAUUUAUCGCUAUGGGAUGGGGAUGCGUCUGAUUAGCUUGUUGGCGGGGUAACGGCCCACCAAGGCGACGAUCAGUAGGGGUUCUGAGAGGAAGGUCCCCCACAUUGGUACUGAGACACGGACCAAACUCCUACGGGAGGCAGCAGUGAGGAAUAUUGGUCAAUGGACGAGAGUCUGAACCAGCCAAGUAGCGUGCAGGAAUGACUGCCCUAUGGGUUGUAAACUGCUUUUAUGCGGGAAUAAAGUCAGGUACGUGUACCUGUUUGUAUGUACCGCAUGAAUAAGGACCGGCUAAUUCCGUGCCAGCCGCAGC
rnacentral:rRNA from 1 species